rnacentral:ncRNA from 2 species
GUAUUCCACUGGGGGGGCCGCACUGCGGCUGAGACAAGAACUGUUCUUGGACCCUUAGAACCUGAUCCGGCUCGUACCGGCGUAGGGAAGUGGAGCAGGUCCUUU